GGUUAAGCGACUAAGCGUACACGGUGGAUGCCCUGGCAGUCAGAGGCGAUGAAGGACGUGCUAAUCUGCGAUAAGCGUCGGUAAGGUGAUAUGAACCGUUAUAACCGGCGAUUUCCGAAUGGGGAAACCCAGUGUGUUUCGACACACUAUCAUUAACUGAAUCCAUAGGUUAAUGAGGCGAACCGGGGGAACUGAAACAUCUAAGUACCCCGAGGAAAAGAAAUCAACCGAGAUUCCCCCAGUAGCGGCGAGCGAACGAGGAGCAGCCCAGAGCCUGAAUCAGU
rnacentral:rRNA from 1 species